rnacentral:rRNA from 1 species
CCUACGGGGGGCUGCAGUGGGGAAUAUUGGACAAUGGGCGAAAGCCUGAUCCAGCCAUGCCGCGUGUGUGAAGAAGGCCUUCGGGUUGUAAAGCACUUUCAGUGGGGAAGAAAGCCUUGGGGCUAAUACCCUCGAGGAAGGACAUCACCCACAGAAGAAGCACCGGCUAACUCCGUGCCAGCAGCCGCGGUAAUACGGAGGGUGCGAGCGUGAAUCGGAAUUACUGGGCGUAAAGCGCGCGUAGGCGGUCUGAUAAGCCGGUUGUGAAAGCCCCGGGCUCAACCUGGGAACGGCAUCCGGAACUGUCAGGCUAGAGUGCAGGAGAGGAAGGUAGAAUUCCCGGUGUAGCGGUGAAAUGCGUAGAGAUCGGGAGGAAUACCAGUGGCGAAGGCGGCCUUCUGGACUGACACUGACGCUGAGGUGCGAAAGCGUGGGUAGCAAACAGGAUUAGAUACCCGAGUAGUC